rnacentral:rRNA from 1 species
UACGUAGGGUGCGAGCGUUUGUCCGGAAUUAUUGGGCGUAAAGAGCUCGUAGGCGGCUUGUCGCGUCGACUGUGAAAACCCGCGGCUCAACCGCGGGCCUGCAGUCGAUACGGGCAGGCUAGAGUUCGGUAGGGGAGACUGGAAUUCCUGGUGUAGCGGUGAAAUGCGCAGAUAUCAGGAGGAACACCGAUGACGAAGGCAGGUCUCUGGGCCGAUACUGACGCUGAGGAGCGAAAGCGUGGGGAGCAAACAGG